rnacentral:lncRNA from 1 species
GUCUCAUUCUGCAUGGCACUGCAAGCCCUGCCCCUCUCAGGCUGCAGGCAUUGCUAUUGGACUGAGUUCUAGAUGGACAGGCAUUUCCUCCAGUAGCAAGAGACCGCUGGACAGCCCAGGGUCAGCAGCACACGUCUCCAGCUGUCUCUCUCGACAGGUGCUCUAAGGUGGGAGGACUGGACUAGGCCAGGGGGUGUUGCCUCUGUUGGUAGAGCAGCUGCAGCAGGUCUCUGCAUCAUCAGACCCCUCUGUCACCCUGUCCCUGAUCAAGUUUAUAUAAUGGAGCCUGAGAGAGAUAGACAACAGCACACAGGGUAUCUGUCUGAGCUCCGGCCUGCGCGCACCACUGAGGACUUUUUCCAUACAGCAGCUGUUCUUGUGAAUAGCCCCCCAGACUAG